UGAGUCGGCCAGGCGGCCGCGUCACGAGGCAACUCGUGCCGAGGAACGUCCGGGCUCCACAGGGCAGAGUGGUGGGUAACACCCACCCGGGGUGACCCGCGGGACAGUGCCACAGAAAGUAGACCGCCGUCCGGUCCGCCGGACGGUCAGGGUGAAAGGGUGGUGUAAGAGACCACCAGCGUGCCGGGUGACCGGUGCGGCUAGGUAAACCCCACUCGGAGCAAGACCAGACAGGAAGCGCACGAGGGUAGCCCGCCCGAGCUUCCGGGUAGGUCGCUGGAGGCGUGCGGCAACGUACGUCGUAGAUGGAUGGCCGCCACCGAGGCAUACGCCUCGGGACAGAACCCGGCGUACCGGCCGGCUCAUCCA
rnacentral:RNase_P_RNA from 1 species